AGAAUCUUCCACAAUGGACGAAAGUCUGAUGGAGCGACGCCGCGUGGGCGAUGAAGGCCGUGAGGUUGUAAAGCCCUUUUCUUAAGGAGGAAUAAGUGGGACAGGGAAUGGUCCUGCGAUGACGUGAAUCAAGGAAUAAGCCCCGGCUAACUACUUGCCAGCAGCCGCGGUAACACGUAGGGGGCGAGCGUUGUUCGGAAUCAUUGGGCGUAAAGGGCGCGCAGGCGGCCGGGUAAGUCUGGUGUAAAAUGGUCAUGCUCAACAUGAUCAUGCGCUGGAAACUGUCCGGCUUGAGUCAACGAGGGGAUGCCGGAAUUCCAGGUGUAGGGGUGAAAUCUGUAGAUAUCUGGAAGAACACCGAUGGCGAAGGCAGGCAUCUGGCGACUGACUGACGCUGAGGCGCGAAGGUGCGGGGAGCAAACA
rnacentral:rRNA from 1 species